rnacentral:lncRNA from 1 species
AUUUAUGAUUUGAACAUAAAUUCACAACUAUUAGUUAAAACGUUUCCAACUCGGAAACGGGUUUUGAAAUACUAAGUUAUGAAAACCACAAAAAACCUUUUGAAAGCUAUUUUCCACACGGAAACUCUUUUCUUUUUAAAACGCGCUACCACGAGGGGAGAAAACUAUUUUACAUUUCACAAAAUCCACAAAUCUUUUUAUUACAUUCAGAAAUCAACUGAAAACUUGAAUAUUCAAACACAAUGAAAUACUGAACCAUAUUAAGCUUUCUAAGUU